GGGGGUGUAGCUCAGUUGGGAGAGCGUCUGCUUUGCACGCAGAAGGUCGCAGGUUCGAUCCCUGUCAUCUCCACCA
rnacentral:tRNA from 1 species